rnacentral:rRNA from 1 species
GACGAACGCUGGCGGCGUGCCUAAUACAUGCAAGUCGAACGCUGAAGAGAGGAGCUUGCUCUUCUUGGAUGAGUUGCGAACGGGUGAGUAACGCGUAGGUAACCUGCCUUGUAGCGGGGGAUAACUAUUGGAAACGAUAGCUAAUACCGCAUAACAAUGGAUGACACAUGUCAUUUAUUUGAAAGGGGCAAUUGCUCCACUACAAGAUGGACCUGCGUUGUAUUAGCUAGUAGGUGAGGUAAUGGCUCACCUAGGCGACGAUACAUAGCCGGCCUGAGAGGGUGAUCGGCCACACUGGGACUGAGACACGGCCCAGACUCCUACGGGAGGCAGCAGUAGGGAAUCUUCGGCAAUGGGGGCAACCCUGACCGAGCAACGCCGCGUGAGUGAAGAAGGUUUUCGGAUCGUAAAGCUCUGUUGUAAGUCAAGAACGGGUGUGAGAGUGGAAAGUUCACACUGUGACGGUAGCUUAACAGAAAGGGACGGCUAACUACGUG